rnacentral:rRNA from 1 species
GACGAACGCUGGCGGCGUGCUUAACACAUGCAAGUCGAACGGAAAGGCCCUGCUUUUGUGGGGUGCUCGAGUGGCGAACGGGUGAGUAACACGUGAGUAACCUGCCCUUGACUUUGGGAUAACUUCAGGAAACUGGGGCUAAUACCGGAUAGGAGCUCCUGCUGCAUGGUGGGGGUUGGUAAGUUUCGGCGGUUGGGGAUGGACUCGCGGCUUAUCAGCUUGUUGGUGGGGUAGUGGCUUACCAAGGCUUUGACGGGUAGCCGGCCUGAGAGGGUGACCGGCGACAUUGGGACUGAGAUACGGCCCAGACUCCUACGGGAGGCAGCAGUGGGGAAUAUUGCACAAUGGGCGGAAGCCUGAUGCAGCAACGCCGCGUGCGGGAUGACGGCCUUCGGGUUGUAAACCGCUUUCGCCUGUGACGAAGCGUGAGUGACGGUAAUGGGUAAAGAAGCACCGGCUAACUACGUG